UUCCAUCUCUAACCCUGGCUCUCAAUCCACUGAGUCGCCUUUUCUUCUUUGCAUCCCCAGAGCACUAAGCUGCCUUGCUUCUGCAUCCUAAGGACCAUGGGACUUCCCGUUCAGCUGCCUGGCAGCUGAAACCUUUCCUCCGUGGUGUGGAGCUCCUUGAGAGCAGGGACUCUCUGACUUCAAUAUCUGUAUCCCUGGUGCUAGACAGGAUGAAUAUCUGGUGCACAUAUAUGAUAUUAAAUGGGAUAGAGAUUGGCCCGGGGCUCCACUGUGUGCCAUUCUGCCCUUUUUUCUGGACUUGCUUUGGGCUCAUGUCUACAAUGCUGAAACCAAGAAGUUUUCUCUUUGAAGCAUUUUUCCAUUUUAAAAUCUCUGGCUCCAUAUGGACAUACAAAUCAGUGAAAUCAGUUUGAAUUCAAUGCCUCCAGUGCUAUGCUUUCAGUGUGACUUAAUUUUCACUCAAAAAAUGCACCUGAUCUCUCAGCUGUAUGUUUGCUAUUUGUUUUAGUAGCUGUCAGCAACCUAAAAACACAGACCACACCUGGCCUUUACCAACAUCACAGAGGAUCUCCAGUGGAAUUAGCCCUUAAUCUCUCCCCCACUGAUCCAUCCUGCACAGAAGCCAAAUUUGUAAUUCUAAAGACUUCAGCUGCUUCCAUCAUUUUGUCUCCCUUUUCAAACAGAACAGCUGCAAGAAAGAGAGCCAAGAAUGUCAUCCCAACUUCCCAUGCCCUCUAAGGCCCAGCUACACAGCCACCCAUCCAACCUGAAUUUCUGGUACUUCCUGAGCUAAAUCCAAUUCCAACUGGCCUUGGCCCUUCUUCUCCACUCUUCUUCACUCUGUCAAUCAAUAAGUAUUAUUAUAUGUUGCCCUCAAGCAGCUUACAUUCUAUAGAGGGAAAUAAUACGUAGGCAGACAGGUGUAUUCGUAUAUACACAAUUGUGUUUAGCUGACUCUUCAUGACCCCAUUUGGGGCUUUCUUGGCAAAGAUGUUGGAUCUUGGCUAUUUCCUUCUCCAGGUCAUUUGAUGGAUGAGGAAACCGAGGCAAACAGGGAUAAGUGGCUUGGAUAGGGUCAUGCAGCUAGGAAGCAUCUCAGGCCAAAUUUGAACUCAGCAAGAGGAGUCUUCCUGGCUCCAAGCUUGGCACUCAAUCCACUGCACCACCUAGCUGACAUAACAAAAUAAAUUACAG
ensembl:lncRNA